CAGUCGCCGCGGGAAUACGUAGGGUGCAAGCGUUAAUCGGAAUUACUGGGCGUAAAGCGUGCGCAGGCGGUCCGUUAAGACAGAUGUGAAAUCCCCGGGCUCAACCUGGGAACUGCAUUUGUGACUGGCGGGCUAGAGUAUGGCAGAGGGGGGUAGAAUUUCACGUGUAGCAGUGAAAUGCGUAGAGAUGUGGAGGAAUACCGAUGGCGAAGGCAGCCCCCUGGGCCAAUACUGACGCUCAUGCACGAAAGCGUGGGGAGCAAACAGGAUUAGAUACCCGGGUAGUCCCUGUCUCUUAUAC
rnacentral:rRNA from 1 species